UAAAUAGUAUAAUCUGCUCAAUGAAUAUUAUAUAGCCGCAAUUAGUGCUAAGGUAGCAUAAUCAUUUGUCUUUUAAAUGAAGACUAGAACAAAAGAUUAAACAUUUUAAUUUAUUUUUUUAAUUUAUUUUUUUAAAAUUUUCUUAACUGUAAAAAGACACUUAUAAAAUAAAAAGACGACAAGACCCUAUUGAACUUUACUUAUGUUAAACUGGGGAAGUUAAUUAAUUAAUAUUUUAAUAAUAUAAAUUAUAUAAAAAUCUAACAUUAUUAAAUAAUUCAGUUACCAUAGGGAUAACAGCGCAAUAAAAUUUUUAAGUUCUUAUAUAAAAUUAAGAUUACGACCUCGAUGUUGAAUUAAUUACCUAUAUUAAGCAACCUUAAUAUAAGGAAGUCUGUUCGACUUUUAAACAAUUACAUGAUUUGAGUUCAGACCGGUGUAAGCCAGGUCGGUUUCUAUCUUUUAAAAAAAUAUUAACAGUACGAAAGGACCUAAUUAUUUUUUAUAAAAAUUUGGCAGAAAAAUGCAUUAGAAUUAGAAUCUAAUAAUAUAUAU
rnacentral:rRNA from 1 species